rnacentral:rRNA from 2 species
CAGUCGUACGCACUGGCCCAACUGAUUGAUGGUGCUUGCACCUGAUUGACGAUGGAUUACCAGUGAGUGGCGGACGGGUGAGUAACACGUAGGUAACCUGCCCCGGAGCGGGGGAUAACAUUUGGAAACAGAUGCUAAUACCGCAUAACAACAAAAGCCACAUGGCUUUUGUUUGAAAGAUGGCUUUGGCUAUCACUCUGGGAUGGACCUGCGGUGCAUUAGCUAGUUGGUAAGGUAACGGCUUACCAAGGCGAUGAUGCAUAGCCAAGUUGAGAGACUGAUCGGCCACAAUGGAACUGAGACACGGUCCAUACUCCUACGGGAGGCAGCAGUAGGGAAUCUUCCACAAUGGGCGCAAGCCUGAUGGAGCAACACCGCGUGAGUGAAGAAGGGUUUCGGCUCGUAAAGCUCUGUUGUUGGAGAAGAACGUGCGUGAGAGUAACUGUUCACGCAGUGACGGUAUCCAACCAGAAAGUCACGGCUAACUACGUGCCAGCAGCCGCGGUAAUACGUAGGUGGCAAGCGUUAUCCGGAUUUAUUGGGCGUAAAGCGAGCGCAGGCGGUUGCUUAGGUCUGAUGUGAAAGCCUUCGGCUUAACCGAAGAAGUGCAUCGGAAACCGGGCGACUUGAGUGCAGAAGAGGACAGUGGAACUCCAUGUGUAGCGGUGGAAUGCGUAGAUUUAUGGAAGAACACCAGUGGCGAAGGCGGCUGUCUGGUCUGCAACUGACGCUGAGGCUCGAAAGCAUGGGUAGCGAACAGGAUUAGAUACCCUGGUAGUCCAUGCCGUAAACGAUGAGUGCUAGGUGUUGGAGGGUUUCCGCCCUUCAGUGCCGGAGCUAACGCAUUAAGCACUCCGCCUGGGGGAGUACGACCGCAAGGUUGAAACUCAAAGGAAUUGACGGGGGCCCGCACAAGCGGUGGAGCAUGUGGUUUAAUUCGAAGCUACGCGAAGAACCUUACCAGGUCUUGACAUCUUGCGCUAACCUUAGAGAUAAGGCGUUCCCUUCGGGGACGCAAUGACAGGUGGUGCAUGGUCGUCGUCAGCUCGUGUCGUGAGAUGUUGGGUUAAGUCCCGCAACGAGCGCAACCCUUGUUACUAGUUGCCAGCAUUAAGUUGGGCACUCUAGUGAGACUGCCGGUGACAAACCGGAGGAAGGUGGGGACGACGUCAGAUCAUCAUGCCCCUUAUGACCUGGGCUACACACGUGCUACAAUGGACGGUACAACGAGUCGCAAGCUCGCGAGAGUAAGCUAAUCUCUUAAAGCCGUUCUCAGUUCGGACUGUAGGCUGCAACUCGCCUACACGAAGUCGGAAUCGCUAGUAAUCGCGGAUCAGCAUGCCGCGGUGAAUACGUUCCCGGGCCUUGUACACACCGCCCGUCACACCAUGGGAGUUUGUAACGCCCAAAGUCGGUGGCCUAACCUUUAUGGAGGGAGCCGCCUAUGGCGCACGCGCCU